rnacentral:rRNA from 1 species
GAUGAACGCUGGCGGCGCGCCUAACACAUGCAAGUCGAACGGCACCCCUCUCCGGAGGGAAGCGAGUGGCGAACGGCUGAGUAACACGUGGAGAACCUGCCCCCUCCCCGGGACUAGCCGCCCGAAAGGACGGGGUAAUACCGGAUACCCGGGGCGCCGCAUGGCGCCCCGGCUAAAGCCCCGACGGGAGGGGGAUGGCGUCCGCGGGACCCAUCAGGUAGACGGCGGGGGUGACGGCCCACCGUGCCGACAACGGGUAGCCGGGUUGAGAGACCGACCGGCCAGAUUGGGACUGAGACACGGCCCAG